AUUGAACGCUGGCGGCAGGCCUAACACAUGCAAGUCGAACGAGCGGCGGACGGGUGAGUAAUGUCUGGGAAACUGCCUGAUUGAUGGGGAUAACUACUGGAAACGGUGGCUAAUACCGCAUACCAUCAGAUGUGCCCAGAUGGGAUUAGCUUGUUGUUGGGGUAAAGGCUCACCAAGGCGACGAUCCCUAGCUGGUCUGAGAGGAUGAUAAGCCACACUGGAACUGAGACACGGUCCAGACUCCUACGGGAGGCAGAAGUAGGGAAUAUUGCACAAUGGGCGCAAGCCUGAUGCAGCAAUGACGCGUGUAUGAAGAAGGCCUUCGGGUUGUAAAGUACUUUCAGAGGGGAGGCGUUACCCGCAGAAGAAGCACCGGCUAACUCCGUGCCAGCAGCCGCGGUAACUC
rnacentral:rRNA from 1 species